rnacentral:lncRNA from 1 species
GGCAGGAUUAUGGUUGGAAAACUUUCACUAUUUUGUUGGAGGAUUCUGGAUUUUAUGCUUAUUCCCUCCUGAUUCAGGGAAUUCUCUAAUCGAGAUUUUGGAAAAAACUGUGAAUUUAUUGAAAGUUCCUGGAAUUUUUCAACCCUAGGCAGGAUAAUAAAUGCCUUGAGGUGAGUUAUGUUGAGAGUACCGUAGGUGAGUUAUGUUGAGAGUACCGUAGGUGAGUCAUGUUGAGAGUACCUUAGGUGAGUCAUGUUGAGAGUACAGUAGGUGAGUCAUGUUGAGAGUACAGUAGGUGAGUCAUGUUGAGAGUACCGUUGGUGAAUCAUGUUGAGAGUACAGUAGGUGAGUCAUGUUGAGAGUACAGUAGGUGAGUUAUGUUGAGAGUACAGUAGGUGAGUCAUGUUGAGAGUACCGUAGGUGAGUUAUGUUGAGAGUACCGUAGGUGAGUCAUGUUGAGAGUACCUUAGGUGAGUCAUGUUGAGAGUACAGUAGGUGAGUCAUGUUGAGAGUACAGUAGGUGAGUCAUGUUGAGAGUACAGUAGGUGAGUCAUGUUGAGAGUACAGUAGGUGAGUCAUGUUGAGAGUACCGUAUGUGAGUUAUGUUGAGAGUACCGUAUGUGAGUCAUGUUGAGAGUACCGUUGGUGAAUCAUGUUGAGAGAACCGUAUGUGAGUCAUGUUGAGAGUACCCUAGGUGAGUCAUGUUGAGAGUACUGUAGGUGAGUUAUGUUGAGAGUACCGUAGGUGAGUUUGAGGCUUCCGAAAUUACGUUUGAGUCGAGGUUCCAAUCAUGGUCUCCAACGAGCCUUUAGUGUGACCCCAGAAACCUGUCACAAAACACAGAAAAAAAAACAAGUGAAGGAAAUAAAGGAAGAAAAGAUUGAAAGAAGUCCUAGUUAGUCAAAAGGCAUCGGUCCCGUUUUUAACAGUUAUAACAUAAGAGCUAUUAACAGGGGCAUGGAUGGAUCAGCAGACUUACAUUAGCUCCCUAACGGUCCCACUCAGAAAUAGCAUGAUGAAAGCUGAUAUUUGAUGAAAGACGAUUAUGCUAAUAAUAUUUAGUUAUGCAUCAGUAUCCUCUAAUAAAAUCUCUGACAUGGAUCUGCGUUGAACUAAAAGGAGUGUAUUCAGACGAG